UGUGCCUGUCUCUUGUCACUAAACAUCCAGGGACACUUAAAGUGAGACUGAGUAUGAUAAAUGGACCAUAAAGUACAGCCUGCCAUGGAACAUUGCCCUGAGAGAGCACACGGGGAGGGAGGAUCUGGGCUGAAAUCCUCUGCACUUAAUGAAGCUGUAGGUGGGGCCAUAGUAAGGAUGGCCAAGUUCAGUGGCAAUAAAGGGGCAGCAUUCCAACUCUUCAGAGAUGCUCUUCCUUGUGUUUACUUUUGAAAGAAAUGUCAUGUGGCUGUGUGGCAUAGGGAGGAAGAGGGGACCAAAGAAUGGAAUGGGAGGGCAUCCUCAGUGCUACCCAAGGACUCACCCAGCCAAAGGCAGAAGCUCUCCAGAUGUCUUCCAGUAAUGACCAGGUUUCUACUUCAGUGUCAAAAAUAAAAAUAAAAAGCUUCCUUGGAUAACUUCCAGGGACUUGAAGACAUCCACUGAAGAGCUUGUAUUGUUUUCAUAACAUCUACUAUCAAGUAAAAGUGCAGAGUAGUCCUCUACUGUUUUGGAAAACAGAAGUGAAAACAAUGCUAUGGAACAUGAGACAGAAAGAAAAUACUUAAAUGUAAGAAACUACAGUUUAC